AGGGGAAGCAGAAGCGAAAGCGAGUUUGCUCACUUGUUUGUGCUCUUGUUGUGCCUGCCUUCUUGCCUCAGGAGCUGAGGGCUCCAUAGAACUGUAGCUGUAAGGCUGUAUAGUGGGCCUGUUUCAUCAGACCACAGCUCUGGUGGAAGUACUGGACCCACUGAGAUGCCAGGAUGACAUGUCUAAUUAGAAUCACACUGAAGAUGUUCGACUUUACAUUUGACUGGAAGGAGUUUGAGUGACAAAGCAUCCACCACAUCCUUAGAUAGGGCCUGAUUGUCAGCCCAGACACAGUCAAACUUCCCUUUUUUGUGGUUGCAGG